rnacentral:piRNA from 1 species
CCAGCGUGUUUUGUGCUUGAACUUGGUGGA